rnacentral:rRNA from 1 species
GACAGAGGAUGCAAGCGUUAUCCGGAAUGAUUGGGCGUAAAGCGUCUGUAGGUGGCUUUUCAAGUCCGCCGUCAAAUCCCAGGGCUCAACCCUGGACAGGCGGUGGAAACUACCAAGCUGGAGUACGGUAGGGGCAGAGGGAAUUUCCGGUGGAGCGGUGAAAUGCAUUGAGAUCAGGAAGAACAUCGGUGGCGAAGGCGCUCUGCUGGACCAUAACUGACACUCAGGGACGAAAGCUAGGGGAGCGAAUGGG